rnacentral:rRNA from 1 species
GAUGAACGCUGUCUACAGGCUUAACACAUGCAAGUCGAGGGGAAACGCCGGGGAAGCUUGCUUCCCCGGGCGUCGACCGGCGCACGGGUGAGUAACGCGUAUCCAACCUGCCUCUGACUGAGGGAUAACCCGUCGAAAGUCGGCCUAAUACCUCAUGGCAUCGUCUGCGGGCAUCCAACGACGAUUAAAGAUUUCAUCGGUCAGGGAUGGGGAUGCGUCUGAUUAGCUUGUUGGCGGGGUAACGGCCCACCAAGGCUACGAUCAGUAGGGGUUCUGAGAGGAAGGUCCCCCACAUUGGAACUGAGACGCGGUCCAAACUCCUACGGGAGGCAGCAGUGAGGAAUAUUGGGCAAUGGGCGGGAGCCUGAACCAGCCAAGUAGCGUGCAGGAUGACGGCCCUAUGGGUUGUAAACUGCUUUUAUGCGGGGAUAAAGUGAGGGACGUGUCCUUCAUUGCAGGUACCGCAUGAAUAAGGACCGGCUAAUUCCGUG